UCCCUGUCCCCACCCCCUCCUAUCCCGUCGACACCCCCCCAAGUUAUCGUUCCAUCCCCACACUCCUCAUCCCACAUCCCCACCCUCAGGCUACUCCAGCACAGUCUCUCCACCAAUGAACGAGCAGCAAGCCCUUGGGUAGGAAAACCUAGGACACUCACUCACACUACUUAGCCCAAGCCUGGCAGGCACGGAGCACGCACAGGAGCGGGCACUGGGCCCCAGGCAUGCAUGGACUCACAGACGCUGCUUGCUGUCCAGGAGGCAGGUGAGCAGCAGACAGGGAUGACCGAAUACUCAGCCUGCCCAUCAUCCCUACUUACGUUGCUUCGAGGACUUCGGUGUCUGCUGGAGAUCAAGUAUUUUUCCUGGACUUCUAGGAGCUGCUGAGCUCUGCGGGAGGAAGGCCCAGACAACACCCUUCGCACCACCGCCCCAGACCACCUGUCUCCAAGGCCCGGCAUGCUAUCUGGACUCUUAUCCUGGGGAUCCAGGCCUGCGGGGGGACUCCAGCCGGACACUCGGAUGGCCAGAGACCUGAGAGAAAGGGAGGAAGGUGGGAAUGAGAAUCCAGUCAGUACUGUCACAGAGUCCCCGGAAGGCAACCAUGAUUCUGCUGCCUGAAGAGACCAUGGAUCUCACCCAGGGCCAGUGUUCCUGAAGUGCCCUCUGCAACACCCUCCCCCCUCUCCCCAGCCUGGUCAUCAUGCUGCUGCUUCAAAACUCAAGCCUCUCCCUCCCAGAUCCGCCCUCCCACUAACCCCACCCCUACCCAGCAGCACCCCCUGCCAGGUUCUGUAUUUUCUCUUCAGUUCUGCCCAUUUCAAAGCCCUUCAGGUCCAGACAUCUGCGGAAAUCCAGCCUGCGCCCCUAACACCAAACCCAGCACCUGACACAUUGAGAACAAAGGAACACAGCUUACUCACAGGACCCGUUAGCCUCUAAUUUAGAAGCAGCUAAAUUAGAGGGAGGGGUG
rnacentral:lncRNA from 1 species